rnacentral:rRNA from 1 species
UACGUAGGCAGCGAGCGUUUGUUCGGAAUUACUGGGCGUAAAGAGUGUGUAGGCGGUGUUCCCAGUCUGUUGUGAAAUCUCCCGGCUUAACUGGGAGGGUGCAGCGGAAACUAGAAUGCUAGAGGGUGGGAGAGGUAAGCGGAAUUCCUGGUGUAGCGGUGAAAUGCGUAGAUAUCAGGAGGAACACCUGUGGUGUAGACAGCUUAUGGACCACUUCUGACGUGAGACACGAAAGCGUGGGUAGCAAACAGG